rnacentral:rRNA from 1 species
CAGUAGCCGCGGGAAUACGGAGGGAGCUAGCGUUGUUCGGAAUUACUGGGCGUAAAGCGCGCGUAGGCGGUUACUCAAGUCAGAGGUGAAAGCCCGGGGCUCAACCCCGGAACUGCCUUUGAAACUAGGUGACUAGAAUCUUGGAGAGGUCAGUGGAAUUCCGAGUGUAGAGGUGAAAUUCGUAGAUAUUCGGAAGAACACCAGUGACGAAGGCGACUGACUGGACAAGUAUUGGCGCUGAGGUGCGAAAGCGUGGGGAGCAAACAGGAUUAGAUACCCCCGUAGUCCCUGUCUCUUAUAC